rnacentral:rRNA from 1 species
UGGGGAAUAUUGCACAAUGGGCGAAAGCCUGAUGCAGCGACGCCGCGUGAGGGAUGACGGCCUUCGGGUUGUAAACCUCUUUCAGUAGGGAACAAGGCCAGGCUUUUGUUUGGUUGAGGGUACUUGCAGAAGAAGCGCCGGCUAACUACGUGCCAGCAGCCGCGGUAAUACGUAGGGCGCAAGCGUUAUCCGGAAUUAUUGGGCGUAAAGAGCUCGUAGGCGGUUUGUCGCGUCUGCCGUGAAAGUCCGGGGCUCAACCCCGGAUCUGCGGUGGGUACGGGCAGACUAGAGUGAUGUAGGGGAGACUGGAAUUCCUGGUGUAGCGGUGAAAUGCGCAGAUAUCAGGAGGAACACCGAUGGCGAAGGCAGGUCUCUGGGCAUUAACUGACGCUGAGGAGCGAAAGCAUGGGGAGCGAACA